AAGAGUUCCGGGGGCUAUCAGGUGUUGAAAUUAUGCACAAGGGGCAAUCGUGGGGGAUGCAGCCCGUCCAUCGUCCGAGCGAACUGGAGGCGGACGCCAGCUUUUUGGACACUCUCACCUCACCGAUAGAGUUCCUCUGUCAGGCCCUUGGCAUCGAACCAGGCGCAAAAGAUGAGCUUGACUGCAUUUUAGAAGACACAUUCAGAAAGAACUGUCCACCGGGGAUCGAGCACCUAUGCUUCACUACCAACUUAGCCAGUAUUGAGCAGGCGGACGCUGUGUGUCCGACGCUGCUGCACCUGGCCGCGGCGCACGGGCUGGGGCAGCUCUGCAGCCGGCUGGUGGACGCUCCCGGCGGCGAGAACGCGCUGGCGCUGCCCAACAGGGACGACCAGCGGCCGGCCGAC